AACGAAGUUUGGUUUGGAGUCAGACCAUUUUACCUUAUGAAUGUGAAAUUUUCCCAGUAAAAUCAACAUCUGAAUAAGAUAUUCCUUUUCUUUAUCAAGUGUUUGAUCAUUGAAGUAUAUUAAUAUGUCCAGUCCAGUUAGCUGUAAAACAAUGUUCAGUUUUUUCAUAAUUAACUCUUUCCAAUUCAACCCAAAACAUCUUUGUGUGUAUACAAUAAAAAAAUAAAUGAAAAAUUGUUUCCUUUUCACCUUGACAAAAACAACAUAAAUAAUCAAUAUCCAAUUUAAACCUUUCCAACACAUGCUUAACCGGGUAUAUAUGCAUUAUUUUAAAAGAGACUUCUUUUAUUUUAUUAUUAAUAAAAAAUGUGUCCACUGUUCGCCAAGCUUUCCGCCAUCACCUGCGAAUCUAGAGUUAGCGAGCUAGCAAACGAAUGACGUCACGCGAUGUGUACGUUGGGCGGCUCAAGCUGGUAGCUUGGCGGUAAACCUCUGCUCCGCGCGACUCGAGUUUACCAAGUAAAUAUGGGCAAGUGCAAGUUUUCGGACCUCUGGCUGGAGGACGCUCGGUUUAAAGACUGGCUUAGGCCAGUAGUUGGAAACAGCCGAGAAGCUUUUUGCAACGUUUGCAAGAAAACGAUAAAUAUUACUUGGAUGGGGGUGAAGCAUAGGGUGAAGGCGGUUAACUUAAAUAUGGGCUUUAGCAUAUCUGGGCACAUAAUCAAAGAUCUUUCGUCUCUGGGGUGUGAUCAAAGCCUGGAGUGGAGCCAAAUCACGUUCCUCUCUCCACUGUAAGCGUUCUGUAUUCACUACGCACCGGAUCCACUCCGGGUUUUCUUACUGUAUCACGUUAAACUGAGGUAAAACUUUAUUUCAGCUAGCAUGGUCAAACUUAUAAUGCAGGAAGGUCCCGAUGUUUUGAAGAUCGAUAAAGGAGUAAAAGACCAAUGGAGAUUGACUUGGCUUAGCGAAAUGAUGAAGAUUGGCAAGCCUUUCAGUUCGUGGGCUAAGAAAACCAAACGGGUGAUGUAGUCGAGUGUAUUGGAGCAACAUGUAUCACCAUCGGUUCAGACGCUGAUGAAAGAAAGGAUUUUACCCUCUCAGCCGUUGGUGUACGUGGAGCAACUGGUGUUGGCAAAGGAGACAGAGACAGUCUUGCUGUUUCAUUAGACGAUGGAGAUGCAUCUUGGUGCUGGAGUCGAGUGUAUUGGAGCAACAUGUAUCACCAUCGGUUCAGACGCUGAUGAAUGAAAGGAUUUGAAUCGCUCAGCCGUUGGUGUACGUGGAGCAACUGGUGUGUGCAAAGGUGCUGGAGUCGAGUGUAUUGGAGCAACAUGUAUCACCAUCGGUUCAGACGCUGAUGAAUGAAAGGAUUUUACCCUCUCAGCCGUUGGUGUACGUGGAGCAACUGGUGUGUGCAAAGCGAGGACACAACGACCACAAGCAUCUGUUGUUUCAUCUGCAAUUACAUAUACAGGACUUCCAUGUACUGUCUGCUUGAUGUCUUCCAAAUAUUGAGGAAAUAAUUGUGGUAAAGCGUAGUCAGAGCGUAAAUGAGAUGGAGCCGGAAUUGACCCUCCCUGCUUGCAGUACUUUUGCAGAAAUGAGGACAAUUUGGGAGUUUUUUCCAGUGGUAUGUCAGCUUCAAGGACGGUCUUCACAAAAUCAAAGAUGAACUCCUUUCUUUCAGCUGCCGAUGGUGUCUUUGAUAUACAGGAUGCCAGUGUUUGUGUUCUGAAAGAUGCUGUGAAAAACAUUAGAAUUAAAUUAAUUAAUUAGAAUUAAAAUUGAUUUAGAGGUGGACACUGAAAAGAAAAAAAAAACUGUCAUUGAGCUCAUAGUCCUGAGAUUUUAGGCUAUUAUUUUCCUAUUUUUU